rnacentral:misc_RNA from 1 species
AGUAUCCUAUGCCUUUGGAGUGAAGAAAGUGGCCCUUUGGGGAGUGAAGAGAUGAAAAGAAGAGUUUCAAGCGCUUACUAGUGAGCGAGGAAGAGCCCGGGAAAUAGCUUCUAUAUAGAUCUUCCACAUCGUUCUGACUCCUAGACAAGAGUCCUUCCUAUUAUCAUUGCCUAAUGUAAUGAGAAUUUUUUUAAGUAAGAAGGAUCCCCAGUCUCAGAUCCGGGAAAGCGGUGAGACUCAGUCUCUUAGUAUUAGUAGAGGAAAAAGAUGAAAUCGCUCUCAUUCACUCGCCCUUAAGCUUAAGAAAGGGGCUUCCCGAAAAGCGUGGCUAUUUCAAAGGCCGGCAGACUAAAAGAGAG